GUGCUCACUUCGGCAGCACAUAUACUAAAAUUGUAACGAUACAGAGACUAUUAGCAUGGCUCCUGCACACUAUUUUGAUUUCAACAUUAAUAGAAAAAUCCCACUUAUUU
rfam:Erinaceus europaeus unplaced genomic scaffold scaffold00051, whole genome shotgun sequence